CAGUAGCCGCGGGAAUACGAAGGGGGCUAGCGUUGUUCGGAAUCACUGGGCGUAAAGGGUGCGUAGGCGGGCAUUUAAGUCAGGGGUGAAAUCCCGAGGCUCAACCUCUGAACUGCCCUUGAUACUGUUUGUCUUGAGUUCGAGAGAGGUAAGUGGAACUGCGAGUGUAGAGGUGAAAUUCGUAGAUAUUCGCAAGAACACCAGUGGCGAAGGCGGCUUACUGGCUCGAAACUGACGCUGAGGCGCGAAAGCGUGGGGAGCAAACAGGAUUAGAUACCCCCGUAGUCCCUGUCUCUUAUAC
rnacentral:rRNA from 1 species